GACGAACGCUGGCGGCGCGCUUAACACAUGCAAGUCGAACGGAAAGGCCUGCUUUCCCUUGUGGAUUGCGGGUACUCGAGUGGCGAACGGGUGAGUAACACGUGAGUGAUCUGCCCCCAACUUGGGUAUAAGCCUGGGAAACUGGGUCUAAUUCCCGAUAGGACUGCAGGGUGGUGCCUGUGGUGGAAAACGAUUUUCUAGUGGUUGGGGAUGAGCUCGCGGCCUAUCAGCUUGUUGGUGGGGUAAUGGCCUACCAAGGCGGCGACGGGUAGCCGGCCUGAGAGGGUGGACGGCCACAUUGGGACUGAGAUACGGCCCAGACUCCUACGGGAGGCGGCAGUGGGGAAUAUUGCACAAUGGGCGGAAGCCUGAUGCAGCGACGCCGCGUGGGGGAUGACGGCCUUCGGGUUGUAAACUCCUUUCGACCGCGAGGAAGCCACCUGGUUGGAAGGGUGGUGACGGUAGAGGUAGAAGAAGCACCGGCUAACUACGUG
rnacentral:rRNA from 1 species